AUGUGCGCGCUUACUCCGUGCCGAUUUGAAUAAGAAAACUUUGCACCAUAUAAACCACAAUAAUAACCUCGGGAUUUAUUAUCUUUGAAUGCAUGGUGUUGGUUGCAUCAUCCGUAUUUUCAAAUUCCCACAUUCAAAAGACCCGCCUUUCGUGAAGGCAAAGGUAUUGUGCUAUUCUUUCCGAGGGGCAGAUUACUUAGCAUUUUCAGUGUAUGUGAUUCUAACUAAGUCAUAGAUCCGCUGCUCUGUUCUACCUAUACAGUGAACAUAGGAUUUCUUUUAAAAUUCAGUAAAUGGAUUAGACGCCGUUUUCAACCUUAAAAAACCCGGUGGCUUGAAAGAAAAUAAAUUCAAACUUGUACCGAGAAUGGAAUUUAAAUGUGAUUAACAUACUGAA